AUGAUGUUUCAAUAUAUAUAUAUAUAUUUGCCAAAUCAGAGCCAAAGAGUAUUAAAAAAAAAAAAAAAUUCCCUUCCCCGCAAUGGGAGAUCAAGUGCCUAUUACUGGUAGGUAAUAUUGUAUUAUUCAAAAAAGAAAAAAUAUUUUGGCCUUAACUUGUCUUGCUUGAUGUUGAUGGAAGAGAGGUCGGUUCAGAUGUAGCCACCACUUCCUUUCUUCGUUCCCUUGACUUGAAGGCUAUGAGAGCCAUUAGAGUGUAGCCAUGUGUCAGUUGCUAGCCUUCUCAAAACGAAAUUCUUUGAUGCACCGAUAGACCUCAUGUCUUCGGGUCGGUUCCUUUUCGACACCAGGAGAGACGAACGGAAGGCGGUAUCACAAAAAUCCAGUUUGAGUCCCCUCUAAAAGCAAGUUCGAGCUAAAUCACAACCAAACCCCCAUGCUACAAGCCAGCCUCAACCAUCGAUUAAGAUUCAAAACCCAUAUACAAAAAGCCAAUCAAAGGCAGAACAGAGCAUGGAAACUGGGAACAUUAAAGGGAUUAUCGGAUCGACUUACCUGUGAUGCCAUCGCCGCAUCGCUGAUCUAGUGCCGUCGUUGCCAAGAAAUGGGCCCGAAACGUUUCGUUGGCGUGUCUCUUCAUUUCCGACGUGAAAACGUUUCUAAAAUGGGGAAACGGCAUGACUCAGCAUUUUCGUGCAACGUAGGUGAUAGGUCAAGUUCAUUCCUAGAACAACUAAUGGAUGUGCUUACUACGUUGUUGGAAAAGUGAGGAUUGGCUCCUUAAUCCUCCCCCAGUUAGCUGAUCUAUGGGUUAAAGAUAGGCUGUACUAAAUCAUGAAUGAAGUUCUCACCUUUCAGAUUAAAAAAGGUAAAAGGCCAUUUUUCACCCUAAAUUAUGGUCAAUAGUCGUUUAAGCUCUUGAAAUCUUUGUAGAUUCAUAUAAGCCCCUCUCAAGUAUUUAAAAUAGUAUAAAUAGCUCUAAAUUUAACAUAUGUUAAGUCUGUCUAGAAGAGUGGCCCAUAUGUUAGUCAUUUCCCGCUAUUAACAUAUUGUAACUUAUCUACCCAUUGUAAAAUCUAUUGUGUUGAGUAAAAUUCUCAAAUUCUAC
rnacentral:misc_RNA from 1 species